rnacentral:lncRNA from 1 species
AGAAUCACCUGGCGGUCUUGAUGAAACACAAGCUGCUGAGCUUUACUCCAGAAUUUCUGGUUCAGUAGGUCUGCAGUAGGACCUGAAAUUUUAUAUUUCUAACAAGUUUUCAGGAGCUGCUGAUGCCGCUAGUACAGGGCUCACAUUUUGAGAACCUCUGGUCUAGCAAGUUGCCACCAAGAAUGAAGAUUGGGCCAGAGAACAGGAGGAAAUUUGUUUUGCAACAGAAAACAUAAGAAAUUUUCCCUGCUUGGAAGAUACUCAUACAUACCAGAAACAAGUCAACAUUUUGAUUUCAAACAUCAAAAAAGGUGUCCAGAAAUCUCAAGAAUUUGAGACAUCCUAAGGAACUUUAAGUGCUGUGAGCCACAAGUAACAUCAAGAAAAGACAGGGAUGAAGAACCGCACUUACAAGCUAAGUAAGAUUAAACCCAGCAUGGAGAUAUAUGAAUUAAUAUGAACUCUGAGAAAGAAAUUGGUCAGCUAAAAAAUAUAUGGCUUUCCUGAAUAGACAAAAGAACAAAGAUUUUCCCUUUGGUGUAAGCUCAUCCUACACAUGUCAUUUGGACCAGACCAAGGCUGCUGUCAUGGAGGACCCACACCACAGCUUGGGAACCAUUCAUCUACCAGAGGGUCACAUGACUUCAAAUGACUCUUCUAGGGGCCACCUGCCAUGAUAGGGUACCAGCUCUUCCUCUGAAUUCCCAAUCCAUUUCUUGAGAACUACUGUUUCUAAUAAGAGUUUUUGUUCCAUGUGAGAUACCCACGCCACUUUAAAAAACAAACUAUCCUGACAUCUAAUUACUUUGUGAAUGAUUGUAAUGGCAAUAACAAUAGAGAUGGAAGAAUUUUGGAAACAAUACUAGUUUCACAGCUUUCAUGUGAGAUGCCAAGGUUUUAGCAUCGUCAGAUUGGCAAUGAGAUUGGAUAACUUCUGGGGUCUUUUUGAAAUUAUAUCUUUCUUUUCUCUAGGAUCCUACUUCUGGAAAAUAAGAUUAAUACUAAUACUAAUAAGACACAAAGAUUUUUAAUGGAAAUAGGAAUAUCUUCAAAGGCUGGAUGGACAUUGCAUGCACUGUAUGACAACAUUCGUGUAUAAUAAGAUCCUUUCCUUAGAGAAUGGGGCAAAUCCAGAUGGAAUGUGAGAAAGACUUCAAGGUUUCAGUGGAAUAUGCUUAUAUUGGGAAUUGUAUUAGUUAAGACUAGGUUUGGCUGCACAUGACAGAAAACCCAACAUAGUCACUUACACAGGAUUAAAACAUUUCCUUGUCAUAUGAAAGUCUAGAAGUGGUAUGUAGCUCUGGGUGUCAGGGAUGAAGAUUCCUUCUAACUGGGAACCCAGCUUCCCAUUUCAAAGAUUGCUUCAUAUUCAAAAUGGCUGCUGGGUCUCCAGGUAUAGAGUCCACCUUCCAGCUAGAAGAACAAAGAACCAAAAUGAGGCGUGUUCUCCCCUGUAAGGAUACUUUCGUAAGUUGAAUAGGAUGCUUUCAUAAGCAUCUCAUUGGCCAGACUGGUUAGAACUUAGUAACUGGCCACAAUCAGCUGGAAAGAAGGCUGGCAAAUAGAAUAUUUAAGGUGGUCACUGUAAUCAGCAAAAAAAUCAUGAGUUACAUAAUAUAUAGAAAAGGAGAACAAGCACAGAAUGACAACUAGCAGUGUCUGCAUAUCAUUCUUCCAAGCAAAUAAAUGGAAAUAAAAAAAAAAUCUUUACUCCAAGAUUCACUUGGCCUUGGUGGAAUGAAGAAUCAGCAUUAACAUACCUAGUCAAUACACAGGGGUUGGCAUUCUUUUGAUGGAAUGUUGAGUCAAGCUGCAUAGGUAGGGUCAGUAGACACACCUGCAUCUUCAAACAACUAAAAAUCUCAGACACCUGCUGAUCACAGGGAUGUGCAGAGAAAGGCACAGAUUGACCUGAUAAGUUAACCAAAAUCGCUGGACCUCUGUUUUUGUGGAUGCAUAAAUGAUAUCUUUAAAGAAAUCAGAUCUUUAACAACCAACGUAAUAAAAUCUGAACUUGCCCUUUUUUUUUUUUUUUUGAGAUGGAGUCUUGCUCUGUCACCCAGGUUGGAGUGCAGUGGUGCAAUCUCGGCUCACUGCAACCUCCACCUCUCGGGUUCAAGUGAUUCCCCUGCCUCAGCCUCCCAAGUAACUGGGAUUACAGGCACGUGCCAUCACGCCUGGCUAAUUUUUUGUAUUUUAGUAGAGACAGGGUUUCACCGUGUUGGCCAGGCUGGUCUUGUCUCCUGACCUUGUGAUCUGCCCGCCUUGGCCUCCCAAUGUGCUGGUGGCGUGAGCCACUGCACCCAGCCCUGAACUUGCCUUUCUAAUAGAGAAUUAGAACACGGAUUUAUCUAGUAAUAGCAAUAUCUCAAAUAUUCAUAAAGAAUGAGGUGAUCCACAGGAAAAUCCUAGAAAUCUGCAUAGCACUAACCAAAAAUAAGGCAUUUGUACUGUUUGAGAUGAUAAUGUUAGGGCAGCAUGCAAUAUCCAGAACAGGUAAGCCCAAACAAACAGAAAGCAGAUUAGAGGGUGCCAGGGGCAGAGGGGAGAGGAGAAUGGCCAUGACUGGCUAAUGGAUAGAGGGUUUCCUUUGGGGGUGAUGAAUAUGUUUUGGAACUAGAUACAGGUGAUGAUUGUGCAACAUCAUGAACAUAUUGAAUGCCACUUAAUUGUACACUUUAAUAUGGUUAAUUCUGUGUUAUGUGAAUUUUAUCACAAUUUAAAAAAAUGAGUUAGGGCAGCAUGUACCUACCACACUGUAGAAUGACUGUUACACAAAAUGUGUGACAUAAACAUACAAAUGCAGAAAGAUUUAUGCUAAAAGGGCCAGCUAUCCGAAGCCGCCCAUUCCCAAACACGUCAAAUUGUCAUGAUUUAACAUAGUACCAUCAGACUUAAAACAAGAGACUUUAUACGUGGGCAUAUAAUGUGAUUGAGGAGUUUUCAAACUUAAGAGCUCAAAUACCUAGUUAGAAUUAAAUCAGUACAAUGUGACCCAGAAAAGUGAGAUGAAGCUGACAAAACAAAACAAUUAGUUUAAAUAUCAGGAGAUGUUGCCUAAUGGUGAAGUCAACUAUAUUCUGAAAAGAGCAGCCAAAGAAAGUUAUCCAAAUCUUAUAAUUUGGGUCAUUAAACUGGAUCUGUAAAAAAGAAAAAGGAUCUGGAAAAUACUCUCUGCACACUAAUUUUAUACUGGCAAGGGCAGGAUACAAAGACAGAAUGGGUGUUUUAGUUUCUGGGUCCUAUUGCCAAUGGUUCUGCCUUUCUUAUGGCUUGCUCAUAAAGUCUCAGGUUUGUUUCUGUCAUUUCUACUGAAGGAUUUAUUUUGUGGAGAAUUUGAAACAUGGAAGAUGGAAAAACACUUCAGGAAAAGAAAAGAAUUACCUCGAAUUAAAUUGCUAAAACAAAUCAAAUUUA